rnacentral:rRNA from 1 species
UACGUAGGGUGCGAGCGUUGUCCGGAAUUAUUGGGCGUAAAGAGCUCGUAGGCGGUCUGUCGCGUCGGUCGUGAAAACUUGGGGCUUAACCCUGAGCUUGCGGUCGAUACGGGCAUGACUGGAGUUCGGCAGGGGAGACUGGAAUUCCUGGUGUAGCGGUGAAAUGCGCAGAUAUCGGGAGGAACACCAGUAGCGAAGGCGGCACUCUGGGCCGGUACUGACGCUGAGGAGCGAAAGCGUGGGGAGCAAACAGG